ACUUGGAGAUAGCUGGUUCUCUCCGAAAUAGCUUUAGGGCUAGCCUCAAGUGAUGAUUAUUGGAGGUAGAGCACUGUUUGGACGAGGGGCCCCUCUCGGGUUACCGAAUUCAGACAAACUCCGAAUGCCAAAUAAUUUAACUUGGGAGUCAGAAUGUGGGUGAUAAGGUCCAUAUUCGAAAGGGAAACAGCCCAGACCACCAGCUAAGGUCCCAAAAUAUAUGUUAAGUGGAAAAGGAUGUGGCGUUGCCCAGACAACUAGGAUGUUGGCUUAGAAGCAGCCAUCAUUUAAAGAGUGCGUAAUAGCUCACUAGUCGAGUGACACUGCGCCGAAAAUGUACCGGGGCUAAACAUAUUACCGAAGCUGUGGAUUGUCCUUUGGACAAUGGUAGGAGAGCGUUCUAAGGGCGUUGAAGCAUGAUCGCAAGGACAUGUGGAGCGCUUAGAAGUGAGAAUGCCGGUGUGAGUA
rnacentral:rRNA from 1 species